rnacentral:misc_RNA from 1 species
UGCUUAGACUCCUCAAAUUGUUCAUCUCUAGGCACAUAAAUUGGCGAGGGCUUCUCUACACGAAUUUCUGCAUUUAUAUUUGUAUCAGUUGGGCAACGGCCGGUGCGACACCGUCUUGGAUAUGGCGUGUUUUCACCUCCAAGUUUUGGCCUAGCAAACUCAAUACCCUUGUCAGGAUUUCCCAAAUCAUUGUAGACAUCAAAGUCAUAAAUCCUGUCUGAUAACUUUCUCUCUCCUUGGCCAUCACCUCUGAUAUCUCUUAGUUCUGUUUCUCUUAACACUCUUAGUCCAGCAGGUGUCUCACUUGGCAAAUAUGGCUCAUUAGAGAAAAAUAUCCUAUUUGCAGGAUGAUCUUUCUUGGAUUGUACCCAGGAGUUGCAAGGGAAAUGCACUGGACCGCAAGCAAAUCCUUCAAGGGUGAUCGUCUCCAAGAAAAACUCCUUCUGGUGCUUGUUGCUCACUGUAAUUGCUCCAGGCACCCCAAAAUUGGAAUCCACUAGAAAUUCAGCUGCAUAAUGGACCCUCUCAGCUUUGACAUUUGAUUUCUCGGACCAGUCCUUCAACACAGCUGCCUUGCUUUUCUUCGGUGCUUUGGUUUUUCGAUCAACUUCAGUACUAAUGAGCUCCAAAACAACAUUUCUCCCAAUCUUGUCGGCGAAAGCAUCCCAGUGCUUGGCAAUGGUGUCCUUCAAAUCCUCCUUGUGCUUGUUUCUCACGGUGACAACAGCUCUCACCUUGAACGUCACUGGCUUUUCGGGCACAGUAUCUGUUUUACUAUUGGCUUUGAUCAAAUCUUCACUAAUAGCUGCAACAGGACCCCUCACAGCUGAUCUUUUUAAGUUAACCUUUCUGUGUUGCAAAGGCACCAAAACUGGUUUCGCCAAGAACUGAUUCUUUUGACGAAAACUAUGGUUAAAGAGCACUUUAGACGACCUUGAUACAUAUGAUGAUUUAUCAAUCAAAGAGCUACCCAUAAUUUCUUUAGCAAGUGCCAUCUUGUUUUCCUUUCCUCCUUCUCUGUGCAAUUAUAUUGUUAAAUAUUUUGCCUCUGCAGAGAAAGAUGAGAAGAAGAUGCAAAUGAACUGUGCGCUCAAAGCAAAAAAGGAAAAGUUAUCUGUGCGCCAGGCUGGUACUAGUGCUG